rnacentral:rRNA from 2 species
UUAGCGGCGGACGGGUGAGUAACACGUGGGCAACCUGCCUGUAGACUGGGAUAACUUCGGGAUACCGAAGCUAAUACCGGAUAGGAUCUUCUCCUUCAUGGGAGAUGAUUGAAAGAUGGUUUCGGCUAUCACUUACAGAUGGGCCCGCGGUGCAUUAGCUAGUUGGUGAGGUAACGGCUCACCAAGGCAACGAUGCAUAGCCGACCUGAGAGGGUGAUCGGCCACACUGGGACUGAGACACGGCCCAGACUCCUACGGGAGGCAGCAGUAGGGAAUCUUCCGCAAUGGACGAAAGUCCUGACGGGAGCAACGCCCGCGUGGAGUUGAUGAAAGGCUUUCGGGUCGUAAA